CCGAGUUCAUGCCCUCACGGGUAGAUCUCCCACCCUAUGUUAUCUCACCUAGUUGCUUUGGCGGGCCGCCAGGCUUCGGCCAGGCUACCGGCUCCGGCUGGUAAGCGCCCGCCAGAGGACCCCAAACUCUGAAUGUUAGUGUCGUCUGAGUACUAUCUAAUAGUUA
rnacentral:misc_RNA from 2 species